GAUGAACGCUGGCGGCGUGCCUAAUACAUGCAAGUCGAGCGAAAAGACGAGGAGUUUGCUCCUCUGACGUUAGCGGCGGACGGGUGAGUAACACGUGGAUAACCUACCUAUAAGACUGGGAUAACUUCGGGAAACCGGAGCUAAUACCGGAAAAUAUAUUGAACCGCAUGGUUCAAUAGUGAAAGAGGGUUUUGCUGUCACUUAUAGAUGGAUCCGCGCUGGAUGAGCUAGUUGGUAAGGUAACGGCUUACCAUGGCGACGAUGCGUAGCCGACCUGAGAGGGGGAUCGCCCCCUCUGGAGCUGGACCGCGGUCCAGGCUCCUACGUGAGGCAGCGGUAGGGAAUCUUCCGCGAUGGGCGGAAGCCUGACGGAGCAGCGCCGCGUGGGUGAUGAGGGUCUUCGGAUCGUAAAACUCUGUUAUUGUUGAAGAACAAAUGUGUAAGUAACUAUGCACUUCUUGACGGUACCUAAUCAGAAAGCCACGGCUAACUACGUG
rnacentral:rRNA from 1 species